UUUUUCCAGAGUAAAAGUCUCUGUUGUCUCUAUUGUUGGCGUUUCUGUAGCAGGUUGAUUUUUUUUACGGGAUGGGGCUGCUAGCCCCACACCCAACCCUUCUCCUUUACCCUGACUUGGGACAGGCAGAUGGCCCCAAAGGACCUCUCUGGUGGAGCUGGUGUGCCACAGU